UGUGUGUGUGCGGGUUGCUGCGAUGUGUUUAUUUUGAUUCUGCAUGCAAUUGCUCGCAGUGUUCGAAAGUAGCCAUGGCUUCGUGUGAUUGGCAAAUGGCCGUGAAAACCGACGAAAAUCAGCGCAUCUCGGUGUGUGGCACCAGUUUUGGCCGGCGGCCACAUUUACGCGUUACGCGAAUGGCACGAGAUCUAAGGGUCGAUGCGGAUGGCCGCGCAGAGAGAGAGAGAGAGAGCGAAACAAAAUGCGGACGAACGAAGCGAAAAGGUCAGUGUGUCAUAGCAGCAAAUUGAACACAAGUGACAUCACGUGAUGUAAGACAUCUACAGGGGCCAAACAGCGGAUAUCUUCUCUUCCUACAGGACCUGAUGGACUGCAAUUAGAUGCGAAUUGAAGACCCCUUGUCCAUCCUGGGGUGUUAUGCAAAUGAUCCCAAUGCUGGACGGGCUUAAGCGAGCUACCGAAACCAACCUCGGCCUCUGUCUUGUCCGCUCUUAAGCCUGGACAAGUUCGACACGUCUUUGGGAUGCUGAAAGGGAAAAAGCGUCCCUUGCCGCAGGUACAGGGCCGGCGUACAUCAAAGGCUUUGGGUUCCAUCAUGCCGGCAUCGUCCAUUCUAUGUGUGUUUGUGUUGCUGCUAGAUGGGACAAAUGCUUCAUACCGACGAUGAGGUCGCAUCAAACGUCUCUGCCGCGAUACAUGCGCGAUACAACAGGCCGCGAGAAACCAAACAGCACGAGAGCAGCCUGCGGGAACAAGAGUGCUAUUUUGGAAUGAACAAAUAACUUACAUUACUACGACUUUCGGCACCACGUCCCGAGACGCGAACGGAAAUGAAACGGUGCUGGUGACCGCUGCUGCUAUCCUCAACCCGCGAUAGAUAAGAAAACAAUCCGAUGAGUUUCGGGCCGUUUUUCUCGACCCGUUUCGGAACCGCCGGUACGCACGAAAAUCGGGAGGAAGUCACCGCUCACGAUCCUGUCCGAUGAUCCCUAACAUUUGAGUGGUUGAUGGUUGUUUGUAGGGCGGGCUGGUCUACGGCUUACGGCUUUGUUUUCGAACUGACACCCCAGGUGCACACGCAAAAAAAAAGCAUGCCAGUCAAAGCCUCACGCAGCCCGCACGUAUUCUUA